GAGGAAGAUCUGGAGGCUGCUAGAAUAGUUAAAGAAGGAGGUGUAGAGUGCCGGGACUAAGGGAGUGGCAUCGGGGAAAGAAACGGAGAAAUGAGAGAGGCAUUGCAAAGGAAGCCUCUCUGGUACUUGGUGAUCGAUUGGUUGGAUGUGAUCUAGGACCUGUACCCUUAGUCACUGGCCCAGGAGGCAAUGCAGUGAUGAGAAAAGGACACCAAAGUUGAAGGUUGACAACCAGAAAUCCAACACUCGAAAUGAUACUGGCUACCUGUGUAACCUUGGGUGAAGGGAGGGGUGCCUUCUCAACCUUGUGAAUUUUGAAAGAUCUGGAGGGUACCUCAGCAUCCUGGCUUCCACAGUCUGGGCUCCAGAGCCAAUGCAGCUCUGAGGAGCGACCUUCAGGACAUCUGUCCAACAGAAGCUGAGAUGAUGAUUCAGUCAGUUAUCAUGCCACAUGAACUGAAGAAAUGAGCUAAGUUUUUGGCCUACUCUGACCUGGGGUGGGGUGAGGGGCAGGAAAUGUUAGUGUGUUUGUUCCUAUAAUAUUUUUGAAGUAAAUAUCCCUUUGUAAAACCAAUUGAUGGUAAUCAUUAGAUGGAACUGGGACUAGUCAGUGACAACUAGCAAUGGGGAAACAGAGUCAGUGGGGGCUCAAGCCAAAGGCAGUAGAGAAGAGCCACCCCUCCCAUCCUUCAAAUGCCCUAGAACCCUAGAAACCCAAGGGAUAAUAGAGCAUGCCUGACGCUGAUAGAGAAGGCCAAAGUGGACAUGCUACACACAAAAGAUGAAGACAAGAGCUAAAGUUGAAGACCAAAGGAUAUGCAGCCAAGUGUCUGAUAAUGAUAAGGGUAUCAUUUCUAAGAUGUAGAAAGAAUUGAUUAAAAUUUAUAAGAAUAAGAGUCAUUUCCCAACUGACACAUGGUCAAAGGCUAUAAACAGAUAGGCUUCCAAGGAAGAAAUCCAAACUAUCAAUAGCCAUAUGAAACAAAUGCUCUAAAUCAUCGCUGUCAAAUUCAUAUAGAAAUACAGAAAUUGGGCCACUAAACCACACAUAAGGAUUCAUAUGGGUGGCAUAUUGACUUAGAA